rnacentral:misc_RNA from 1 species
AGUCGUAACAAGGUUUCCGUAGGUGAACCUGCGGAAGGAUCAUUCCCAAAUCUAAACUCGCAUUUGUUCCGGCGUCUUUUACAGACAAUGGGCAUUUGCAAUUUAAUCUACACUCUCAAUAUCUUUCUAUAUACCUCUUUCCCCGGAGCCUUACAUGUUGGGACGCUGACAUGUUUGAGGAUGGCAAACCCCCUUUAUUUUUAUGUGACUUGGUGUGAUCAAAAACUGGCAGUGAAUCUAGAGUUCUUGCACAGUAUACUAAAAAUCAUAAUUUGUUAGUUAUGUCGAGAAGGAUCAUGACGGUGGAUACAUUGGUUUCUG